GACAGAGGGGGCAAGCGUUGCUCGGAAUUACUGGGCGUAAAGGGCGCGCAGGCGGCUCUGAAAGUCAGAUGUGAAAGCCCCGGGCUUAACCUGGGAAUUGCAUUUGAUACUCUGGAGCUUGAGUACGGGAGAGGAGAGUGGAAUUCCCAGUGUAGAGGUGAAAUUCGUAGAUAUCGAGAGGAACACCUGCGGCGAAGGCGGGUUGCUGGGCUGACACUGACGCUGAGGCGCGAAAGCUAGGGGAGCGAACGGG
rnacentral:rRNA from 1 species